AGAUGUGUGAAUUACUGGAUACACACUAGCAUGUUUGCUGAAUUCUGACCCACCCCUCUUUGUUACUAAGAUUUGCAGAUCAGUCAAAAUGAUCUCCGAUUCAAACUGAUGCAGAAAAAUGCCCAGAAACGAGCUCAGAGCGAUGAAGGUAGCACUAUGGAUCUUCGUGAAAAGCUCUCCAGGAGCGAGCAGCCUCCACGUAGCCUUGAUACUCGACCUCGUAUGGCUGAGCUGAGAGAUGUCCCUUUACCUUCAUCAAGAACUGCUCGUGGUUCCUCUCAGAUGAUUUCAUCAAGUAGUUCAUAUCCUCCAUGGUCCCUGGAAGAUUUAAGACGAAGGUCUCCAGAGAGAUUUAUGGAUACUUCCAGGGGUCCAUCCCCGCCAAGAAAUGCUGGACGUACCAUUGGCAUUCCAAGGGGUCCAUCCCCCCCAAGAAAUGCUGGAAGAUUUAUUGGCACUCCAAGGGAUCUAUCACCGCCAAGAAAUACUAGAAGGAUCAUCGCCUCACCAAGGGAUCUAUCACCGCACAGAAAUGCUGGAAGGAUAAUUGGCACUCCAAGGGAUAGAUCACCUCCAAGAAAUGCUGGAAGGAUAAUUGGCACUCCAAGGGAUAGAUCACCGCCAAGAAAUGCUGGAAGGAUAAUUGGCUCUCCAAGGGAUAGAUCACCUCCAAGAAAUUCCGGAAGGAUAAUUGGCACUCCAAGGGAUAGAUCACCUCCAAGAAAUGCUGGAAGGAGAUUUGAGUCUCCAAGGGAUCUAUCACCGCCAAGGAGCACAAGAAGCUUCAGUAGUGGUUCUAGGGCUCUGUCUCCCACUAGAAAUGUAGGAAGCUACAUGGGUUCUUCUCUGGGGUUUUCACCUCCUAGGAAUCCUGGAAGCUACAUGGGUUCUUCUAGGGGUUCUCCACGUAGUAACAUUGAAGAUUUUCAUGGACGAAGCAGGAUGCUUGAUGAUGUGAGAGCGACACCAUAUACUGUUAGAGGUGUACUAAAUGGUCAAGCCCCAGCAAGUGGUGCUCCUUUCGCCAGGCCAAUGUUACCGCCUCCAGUCCCAAACCCACAUCCGUUGCCUCCUUUGAGCCAGCUUCCUCCACUUGGAAGUAUGAUGCAGAACAAUCCCUUCUCUGUAAGAUCUUUUAUCUACAUCUCAAUUUGUGGAUGAAUUUUCUCUCUUCUUGCUCUUUCUAAACUUUGGGUGAGUCCUUCAUAUGUACCUUGUGUCAUUCGUAGGCCAAAAACCUUUGUGGUCAGAUAGUCCAAACUUUUAUGCCUUGUUCAUAUACAUGUUGUAAUAUGUCAUGUAUAUCUGCUUGGUGUUACAUUAGG
rnacentral:lncRNA from 1 species